rnacentral:rRNA from 1 species
CGUAGGGACCGAGCGUUGUCCGGAUUCAUUGGGCGUAAAGAGCUCGUAGGCGGCCACUCAAGUCGAAUGUGAAACCUCGAGGCUUAACCUCGAGCCUGCAUUCGAUACUGGGCGGCUAGAGUCUGGUAGGGGGAUCUGGAAUUCCUGGUGUAGCGGUGGAAUGCGCAGAUAUCAGGAGGAACACCGGUGGCGAAGGCGGGAUCCUGGGCCAGUACUGACGCUGAGGAGCGAAAGCGUGGGGAGCAAACAGGAUUAGAUACCCUGGUAGUCCACGCCGUAAACGAUGGGCGCUAGGUGUGGGAGGUCAUCGACUCCUUCCGUGCCGCAGCUAACGCAUUAAGCGCCCCGCCUGGGGAGUACGGCCGCAAGGCUU